UACGUAGGGGGCAAGCGUUGUCCGGUAUCGAUUGGCGUAAAGCGCGUGUAGGCGGCCCGGUAAGUCCGCUGUGAAAGUCCAGGGCUCAACCCUGGGAUGCCGGUGGAUACUGUCGGGCUCGAGUCCGGAAGAGGCGAGUGGAAUUCCUGGUGUAGCGGUGAAAUGCGCAGAUAUCAGGAAGAACACCCGUGGCGAAGGCGGCUCUCUGGGACGGUACUGACGCUGAGACGCGAAAGCGUGGGGAGCGAACAGG
rnacentral:rRNA from 1 species